rnacentral:rRNA from 1 species
GACGAACGCUGGCGGCGCGCCUAACACAUGCAAGUCGAGCGAGAACCAGGGCUUCGGCUCUGGGGACAGCGGCGAACGGGUGAGUAACACGUGGGUAAUCUGCCCUCGGUAUCGGGAUAGCCCGGGGAAACCCGGAUUAAUACCGAAUAGCCUCCGAAGCUCUCGGGCGUCGGAGAAAAGGUGGCUUCGGCUUCCGACUGAGGAUGAGCCCGCGGCGGAUUAGCUUGUUGGUGAGGUAACGGCUCACCAAGGCUACGAUCCGUAGCUGGUCUGAGAGGACGAUCAGCCACACUGGGACUGAGACACGGCCCAGACUCCUACGGGAGGCAGCAGUGGGGAAUCUUGCGCAAUGGGCGAAAGCCUGACGCAGCGACGCCGCGUGCGGGAAGAA